rnacentral:rRNA from 1 species
ACAGAGGUCCCGAGCGUUGUUCGGAUUCACUGGGCGUAAAGGGUGCGUAGGUGGUGAGGUAAGUCGGAUGUGAAAUCUCCAGGCUCAACCUGGAAACUGCAUUGGAAACUACCUUGCUAGAGGUUUUGAGGGGGGACUGGAAUUCUCGGUGUAGCAGUGAAAUGCGUAGAUAUCGAGAGGAACACCAGUGGCGAAGGCGGCCAGCUGGGCCGGGUCCGACGCUGAGGCGCGAAAGCGUGGGGAGCAAACAGGA